GACGAACGCUGGCGGCGUGCUUAACACAUGCAAGUCGAACGGAAAGGCCCUGCUUUUGUGGGGUGCUCGAGUGGCGAACGGGUGAGUAACACGUGAGUAACCUGCCCUUGACUUUGGGAUAACUUCAGGAAACUGGGGCUAAUACCGGAUAGGAGCUCCUGCUGCAUGGUGGGGGUUGGAAAGUUUCGGCGGUUGGGGAUGGACUCGCGGCUUAUCAGCUUGUUGGUGGGGUAGUGGCUUACCAAGGCUUUGACGGGUAGCCGGCCUGAGAGGGUGACCGGCCACAUUGGGACCGAGGUAAGGGCCCGACCUCUACGGGGGGGAAGCGGUGGGAAUAUUGGCCAAUGGGCGGAAGCCUGAUGCAGCAACGCCGCGGGCGGGAUGACCGCCUUCGGGGUGUAAACCGCCUUCGCCUGUGACGAAGCGGGAGUGACGGGAAUGGGUAAAGAAGCACCGGCUAACUACGUGC
rnacentral:rRNA from 1 species